UAAAGUGGCGCACGGGUGAGUAACGCGUGGGUAAUCUACCUCCGAAUUGGGGAUAACAUUGCGAAAGCGAUGCUAAUACCGAAUGACAUCUCAAUAACUCCGGUCUUUGAGAUCAAAGGUGGCCUCUCCAUGGAAGCUACUGUUUGGAGAUGAGCCCGCGUACCAUUAGCUUGUUGGUAGGGUAAUGGCCUACCAAGGCGACGAUGGUUAGCUGGUCUGAGAGGAUGAUCAGCCACACUGGAACUGACACACGGUCCAGACUCCUACGGGAGGCAGCAGUGAGGAAUUUUGCGCAAUGGGGGAAACCCUGACGCAGCAACGCCGCGUGAGUGAUGAAGGCUUUCGGGUCGUAAAGCUCUGUCAAGUGAGAAGAACCUGUCCUUUGCUAAUAUCACUGGGCACUGACGGUAUCACUGAAGGAAGCACCGGCUAACUCCGUGCCAGCAGCCGCGGUAAUACGGAGGGUGCAAGCGUUAUUCGGAAUCACUGGGCGUAAAGAGCGCGUAGGCGGUUUCUAAAGUCAGAUGUGA
rnacentral:rRNA from 1 species